UUGGACACUUACUUCCCUACCAGCCGUUUCCGUUCGGCUCUUCCGCUUCCUAACGUCUGAGGCGCCCAAGACGGCUCUCUUCUCUUUCGGUCAGAGACCCAGACAUUAAAAUGUUCGCUUGAGGCAAAAAAAUCGGUCCUGCAGGGCGCCACCUGCAGGCAGGCCCCUGCAAAGCCCACACGGUUCAGUCCUUGUGUUCCUGACCGGUUAGAACAGGUCCCGCUACGGAAGAACGCGGUCACUCCAGAUUCCCCCAAGGGCAGCUGGGCCGCCCACAACCACUGCCCGCAGAAACGGGAAUUUAGAAAAAAAAUCUCUUUCUAAGCCCCGCACGAUGGUAAAAUCAUUUUACAAGCUCAGCACUUGAGGCCAGAGGACCGGAACCUGAAGGCCAGCAUCCUACACAAAGCGAAUUCGAGGCCUACAUUACAGUCACCAAAAAAUUAUUUAAAAAUUAAAAUAAAAAACAUUACAAAAAAAAAAAAAGGGGCAGGAGCGAGGAGGUAACCCGGGAGAGCACUUACCUAGCCCACUGAGGCCCUGGGUUCCAUCGCCAACGCCGCAGAAAAGAACCAGGCAAUAGGUGGCGGAGAAUCAGAGGCUGUCCUACCCCGGAGAACCUUAACGCGAAUGAGAAGCCGGCGUGAAAAGCACGAGGGUGAGGACCGAACCCUGGGUCUUACGCUUGCUAGGCAAACGCUUUACCACUGAGCUAAAUCCCCAACCCCAACAAACUUUUAGCUUUGCAUAAUUGGAUUUUACCCUCAAUCAUAGCACUUGGGAGGAGGCCGGAAGAUCACCAGGUGUUCCAGGCAAGCUGGGGCUAUAUAGUGAAUUCCAAGCCAGGCAGGAUGCAGAGCAAGACCUUGUCUCAAAAAGCCGAAUAGGAGUUUGGAGAAGGCCAGAUGCCCCUUUCCCACGGAGAAGAUUCAGGCUGCUCUCACCCUUGGCCAGAGACGCUUCUUCUUGCAGUGGGUAGCAGUUACCGCAGAGACUCAUAACUGGUCCAGGGGCCCAGUAUAAAUGAGUACUCAGACGUAGGGCGUCCUCUACAGCGACUUCACACCAGCGAAGACUCAGAGAAGGCAGAAAGAAUGUAAGAAUCAGCAGGCGGGAAGGAGAGCUGUGGCACGCUGACUUCCGGACUUGGCAUGACUGGUGCAGGCAUGAACGCACAGUAGCUAUGGUUACCAGCAACGUCAAACCAGUCAAAAGCCCAGCACUGGUGGGGGAGGGGAGGGACCCCAAGACCCCACCCUUAUCAGGUAAGCUAUUGGCAGUUCCUGGCAGUUGCAGGAAGGGUCAGUCACUCUCCUUUGGGGGAAUGUGAACCCGGUAGGUGGCUUGUUCCCUGGUGGAUGGCCACACCCCCACGUGUAUGUGGGCAGCUCUAACUGGACUCAGGGGGAUUAAUAACAAAGAAAAAUAAAGAGGAUAUGAAGCUGGGAGAGAGGGGCCACUAGGGGAGUUAGAGGAAGAAAUAUCAAUAUGCAUUAAUACAUAAAGCUUUUGAAGAAUAAAAUAUAUUGUUUUUCAGCUAAAUAAAGUUGACCCUAAGGAGUUGAGGAGCCCAAACCAUGUACAAAUGCUAAUUCCAAAGAGGCAAGGAGAAAGACCACCAACCCAAAUCACCAAGGCCAAAUUAAUUAAAACAAUCAAUUAAUUAAUGCAAACUUUUUUAUGGGUGCACGGGCUGCCUCUCCUAAGGCAGGGUUCAAGAGGUCAGCAUUGGACAUGGGCAAGAUAAGGUUUUUCUAGCUCAGGAAUAAGGGAUUUCCAAAUGGGAUUUGGCAGGCAAAUAGAUGGGAUUACAGAAGCAGAACAUAACGAGGCGAUCCUAACAACAGGCGGUCAUAAAAACCUUUUGAAACAAAGGUAGAGUUGCAAGAUGGUCAAAAACAAAGAUGGUUCAAAACAAAGACUUGGUCGCUGUUUCUUUCCCAAAACAGAUAGUACAGAACCAUCUGUAGUUGAGGUUAUAGGUGGGACAUAGCCCAGUCUUUGAGAAACAGAGGUUGAAUCAUAAACAGGAAUGAACCUAGUUUGUCUUUAUUAUAAGACGGCUUUAAAACCCAGGCUGGUUCAUCACAACAAAAGUACAACAACAAAUUUGUGAAUGGAAAAUUGUUUUGUUUGUUUGGAGACUGGCUUGAGCACUCACUAGGUAGCUUCCACUGGCCUUGAACUCUUUACAAGCACCCUGUCCCCGCCUGCCUCCCCCCUGCUUAGAUUAAGGUCUGAGACAGCCUGUUGCUUCUUGCCCUUGCCUGCACUGUCCAUCACCACUAUCCUGCAAAGGGCUUGGAGAAGGCCAGUCCACAGAGGUACAUGGACAGCCGCAGUCAGGUAGCUGCUGCCAAGAGGCUGCCAUUGGCAUCAAAUGUCACCUAGGCUAGUCCAGAACCUGCCAUGUGUCAGAGGAAAACCUCCUGCCUCUACCUCCCAAGUGAUGGGAUUACAGGUGUGUAUCACCAUGCCUGGUUUACCUGGUGUUGGGGAUGAAGCCUAGGGCCUGACUCAUUCUAGGAACCAACUGAGUUACAUGGUCAGCUCUGAGUUCUCAUUUUUAGAUGCAUAUUUUGGGGGUUUUGUUGUUAUUGUUUUUAUUUUAUGUGUAUAUGCAAGUGGCUAUGGUGGUAUUUUAUUUGCACUGAAAUGUGAUUUUAACUGUAUGUUAAUAAAUAAAGUUGCCCGGGGGUCAGAGCUAUUAGAGCCAUAGCAAGAGCGUGGCGGUGGUGGCGCACGCCUUUAAUCCCAGUACUUGGUAGACAGAGCUAGGUAGAUCUCUGUGUAGAAAAGGAUACAGCCAGCAUUGGAGACACACGCCUUUAAUCUCAAUCCCAACCAUAGAAGACCUGGAAGUCUUUACAGACAGGCAGUGACGAGGCAUGGGUUUACAACCAAUGAGAAGACAGAACCGAAAGUCUUUAUAAAGACAAACACACAGGAAAUAGCUCCUUUUUGGAGAGCUCUCUUGGCUGAAGCAGGAAGGGUAAGGCUCUUAGUUCUGACCUCCUGGCUUUCUUCUCUGAA